UACUAGAAAGGUUAGAAAUUCACAAGAUAAUAACUGAGUUUUAUUUGAAUUCAAAUUCUGAUAUAAUAAUAUUCUUCAGAUGAAAUGAAACAAUCCUUGAACACUAUUUUACAUCCAUAAUUUUCAAUGAUCUCAUAUCAUAAAACACAGAAUUGUCAAUAAACAAGUAGAAAAACAAAUCCCAAAACCUCCUGAAGAUAGAAUCUCAUCACAACCCCAAUUUAUUUGUGGUAUUUUGAUCCAGUGCUUUGUUGCUACCUGUAGUGACAAUAAAUAUUACUUUGUCAGUAAACUAGAACAUGCUUCAUGUAAGAAAACAAGCCAACUGUACUGUACCCAAUAUUUAUAUACAAAUAUGCAUCCCUAACUAAAACCUUAUUUGCAAAAGAGUCAUUUUUUAAGGAUACCACUAGAUAUCUGUCAACAGGACUGGACUUAAUUAUCCCAUUUUAUAGGAGUCAUAAGUUAUCUGUCAAAAUCAACAACGCUCAUAGCUGAAGGUUAGAGCCAAACCCCUCCCAUGAUCAUUGGAAAACCCUCUCAGAGGCACUGAUACAUCUCCACACAAAUGUCAAAACUCAUUUGUCAUGAGAUGAUGCAGAAAUUCACUUGUGAGAUGAUACUUGUGUCCAAAUAUUACUAUGUAUAUCCCAUCAAACUUCUGCUAGAUGCAGUUCUCAUAUAAGCUAAACUACCAUUUUUUAUGUUUAAUACAUGGCAAACAUGUGACAUUAUUUCAUUGAAAUGCUUCAGAAACCAAGCAGCUAGCAUAUGUAUCAAUGCUAUAAAACACACAGCAUAUAGACGUGGCUUCCAUCGGAUAUACACAAAAUAGAGUAGGCAGUUUAAAAUCAUAUUCCUGAUUUGUUUAUGCAUGGAAAUGCAGAAGCAACAUAAUUUUUUGUAUAUAAAUAAUAAUAAAAAAGACAUACCAUGAGUUCAUGAGUGGAAACUUAUGAUUUAUUCCUGUGACUUCCAAUUGACUGGAGUGAUUUUUGGGGGGUGAUUAAUGCCAACCCAAACUUGCCUCAUUGUUUCUGUGAUUGUUGUAACAAAUCCUUCUGGCAUAUUUGUUAGCUUCAAUUCAGUGAGGGUUUUUAAGUGUCCCAACCCACUUGGGGCAUUCAAUUUUGUGCAAGAUCUAAUUUCCAACUCCCUGAGAUUUUGCAUUGCCUUUCCCUCAACAUCCCAAUCUUCUAGUUCUAGCAUCCACAACUUUAAAACUACAAGCUUUUCAAACCCUCAGUUGGAGCAAACCAUCUUGUUACCGGUAUAAGAGUUGGAAUGGAAACAAAGUGAUUUAAGGUUUUGGAGCUUCUCUAACUUCGGCAUUGGAUCUUCUUGAAGAAAAGAGGCUGACAAAGUAAGAUCAGUGAGGUUCUUAGGUAAUUCAGGUAUGAUGGAGGGAACUAGCUUUCCAAACAAAUUUAGGCUAGAGAGUCUCUCAAGUGCUGACAAAGAUUCCAACGCUAGAGCAUGAGGUUCACCCAAUUCAUCAAUUGAUCUCAAUCUUAAAGAUUGAAGGUGCUUCAGCUUUAGAAUCCCGUCUGCUAACGCCUUUUGAUCUUCCUUCUCUAACUGGAAUGCCAAUCCUAAUUUUCUGAGACUGGUAAACUUGUCCAAUCCAUCCUUCAAAGGACUAUCCUUAUCCACAAAUACCCCCCACAGUGUCUGGAGUUUCUUCAAGGAACUGCGACGUCCUUGUUGACACAUAAGUUUACUUAGGUAAUUCUGGCUAAAGUAUAGGUGUCGAAGUUCCUGUAGUUUCCAUAUGGAAUGGGGGAGAGUGCGGACAUAUGUAUGCUUCACAUCCAAGGUUUGGAGGUUCAGCAAAUUACCAAUGGAAGUAGGGAUUGAUUCAAGGUAAGUCCACCUCAAGCCUAGAUACCUCAACUUGCUUAAUUUCCCAAUGGUUUUGGGCAAUUCAGGUCUGAAUACACGUUCAAGAUCAAGAACCUGUAGAAGCUGGAAGAAACCACCUGCAAUGCCCUUUCGUAGAAAGUUGCCUAUUUCUUCUCCAGGCUUAUAUCCUUCUCCAGAAUCAAAGGAGAGAAUAGAGAUGAGUUUUUUGUAUGAGUCUGGAAAAUCUGAGCUGUCACUAUGAAUAAAACGAAAACUUGGAUCAUAACAGUUUAAGUGAUCAGCAAGUCGCCUCUGAUCUAACGUCAUAGAUUUGGACCUGAUCGGUUCUUGUAAAUCUUUGUGCAAGCAACAUGUCUUGACUCUCCCAUCAACCUUUCUUUCAACUACUUGAACAAUGUCCCGAUCAAUUAACUCCGAUAAAUACGUGUUUGCCACAUCUUCAUAUUCUGUCGCCUUAUCCCUUACGGGUGCCACAUCUUCAUAAGGUUCUGUCGUCUUAUCCCUUAUGUGUACCAAACCUUCUGCAAUCCACAUAGCAAUUAAUCUCCUCGUAGGAAUUUUGAAAUCCCUUGGGAAGACUUUGAAGCAAGAAAGACAAUGGGAUAGAUGAGAAGGUAACUUAUCCGCACACCCUAUGGUGUAGGUACGAAUCGAUGCUGUAUCAUUCUGGUUGAUGUAUUGAAUCACCCUUUUCAACUCUUGAGCAGUAUUCUCAUCUUUCCCUAACAUUAGACAUAUGAUGGCCAGUGGUGAACCCUUAUAUUUACUCAAAAUUUCUUUUGCUAGCAUUUUCCAUUUUGGAGGAAAGUGCACCGCCUGGUUGAACAACUGCCAGCUCUCUUCUCUGGUUAGCGGUCGAAGCUGGUGGGGAGGGUUGUUGCUGUCGACUUGUGAAGCCAAAUUGUGGUCGCGUGUAGUGAGCAGAAUUCUGCUCCCACUUGAUGUAGUUACUGGAAAUGCUGCUUUCAGAGUAUUCCACUCUACCAUUGUGGAGAUGUUGUCAAGAACUAAAAGGCACCGCUCAGCUUUUAAGAUAUUAUGUGCCUCGUCGAUCCUGCUGGAUGCAUUGUGAUUGAUCUCUUGGCGCCCUUCUGGUUUAAGAGACCUCAAGUGACGCAGCACAAGCAACAAAGGUUUCAAGCGAAACCGUGAGUAACAAUAAAACUGGAUUCCACCAGAAAAUUAAGAGAAGCUCUCUUGGAAUAAUAUGAUUAAAAGUUGAGCUCCAGAUACAUUAGACAAACCUGUCUAAAUACACAUUUCUCAACAACCCUCAACCCUUCAACUACUAGGGGAGUUAUUACAUAAAACUGAAAAAACAGGAUUAAUUUGGAGUCUUAAUAACGUAACUCCUAAACUGUCCAAAACAGAAUUUAUUGAAAAAUUAACUACCAAACUUUAACUGCAGUUUUGGAAGGCCAAACGACCUCAGAAUGCCAAAAUCCACCUUAUGUCACAGCAAAGCUGUGAGUUACACUCGUGGCUUCGUUCCCUUUCCGAAAAGGUAUUUUGCGUCCUAAUCGGAGCUUGGACGACAAAACUGCAUAUUCCCGCUACGUCCUUUUUCUAGCUCAACCGCGAUAAAAUCUGCCAUCUGUUCUACAUCAUCAAGAUCUGCUUUGCUACUUCCAAAAUCAGCUGUUCUUUGUUAUUAGAGUCACCAUGAGGUAGAGAAACCCAUGCACGGCAGGGAAAAUGUUCCACAACAACUCCAUGGUUAUAAAUUUUCUUUGCCAGUGUUGUCUUACCUAUUCCCCCAUCCCCCACAACUGAAAUGACAGAGCGAUGUUCAUUGUUGGUUGUCAGCCGUGACACCACUGCCAACAUGUCUUCUUCCAAACCAACCACUGAGCUUGACUCUGAGGUCAAUUCAAUGGUGUACGCUUUUAUGCAUCUUAAAAAAAUAUCAACUGUACGAUUGAUUUGGUCAAUUUCAUGAAAAAGCUUCUUCCCAUCUCUUGUUUUCGAAGUGUCUGAAUCCUUCACGAAUUUUUUCGCAGAUUUUUCUGCCCUUAGAACAAUUUUCUUCAUUUGCUCCAACCCAGCUUUUCUGGAAUUAUAUCUGCUUCUAAUUUUUCCAGCAUCAUCUAGAAGUUUAGGCAUCUUUUCCAAAUUAUUGCAUAGCCAUUUGACAUGAAAAUAUACCUCAAAUACAGAUGACUUCAGGUGCUGUCGCAAACUGUCUAGUACAGGUGAAACAAAUUCGCCAGCAGUGGUGCGGUAGGAGGGUUGAUAGACAAACUUUGACGAAUCUCUGCUUAUAAAUCUGAAGCCAUAUCUAUCUUUUUUUUCUAAUAGGUCUGAGAACCCAACUUCAAUGCACCUUAUGUUCUGUUUGAGAUUCCUCCAUGCCUUCCAACUGCAAACAACUGAUAGCAACGGAGGCCUCUGUGAGAAGUUUUCAAUGGCAGGAUGUGCUUCAUUAAUUAUCUCUUCCAGUUCUUCCACCCACGCCUUUUCAGUUUUGCUCUCAAACUGAAGUCCUUCUAUAUCCUUCAGAAAAGGAUGCAGUAGCAGCAACUGCAGAUUUAUUGCCUUUAUUUUCUCUCCAGUAUCAUGCAUUAAGACUGGGUCUUGAAUUAUCAGCCUUUUUAUUUUCUCUGAAGUAGAGAAAGUCAAAUCAGCUGGUGAGGCAGCUCCUCCUUUGGAAUUUAGUACCCAUCUAUGCUCUUGUUCUUCAACAGAUCUGUCCCGAAGGCUUCUAAUGUCAGACCUCAAUCUCUCUAGUGAUUCGCAUAUGUUAAUCCCACACACCGCCUUCUUCUCAAUGAUGUUUUUUAUUUCCUCUUUAACCCAGUUAGUUUCACUGGAAAGCUCUCCCAUCUGGCUGAGAUUCUUCCUGAUUGUAGCAGAACUUAUUAUGUGGGAGUCCCUUCUGUGUUUCUCAAAGGUUUCGACCAAAUAUUUUGCUCUUCGAACAACGGAUUUGGCUUGCUCAACCCAUGCUGACUCGGUUUUAUCCAGCCCUUCUAUAGUUGCUCCAACAGAGUAGUGGUCAGAUUCCCAGAUUUGACAGGCUCUGGUGUUUAUCUCUUCUGUUAACUCCAUUACUUUUGCUGCAUCCUCUGAAAUAGCAUGCAGUAACCUUGAUUCUCUUCUGAUCCGCUUGAUAUCUUCCUCCAAGUAGAGAAAUGGCUCAUAGUUGAUGUAUAAGUAGAUAGAAAGUAUUAGUGGGACAAGAGUGACGGGGAAGAGCACAUGAUACAGUGAUAUUUGAAACAAAUAACGGCAAAGAAGAAAUACAGCAAAUAGGACAUGAAACUGAGUGCUGUGAAGAAUGGAAUCAAUAAUCAAUGCUGAGGGCUUGGUUGCUCCUUCCCUCUGGUAUGCCAAACCGAGCAUGAACACAAACAUCGAGAAAUAUUGAUGAUUAUCAGAAGCUGGAUUUUCAGUUCCGCUGCGAUCCUUCGUAAUCAUCUGAGGCUGAGCAGCAGGUAUCUUCAUAUCUUUCCACUCCAUCGUCCGUGUGGAUUCGAAUAGCUGAGCACCAACUGUUGCUGCAUUGUUCCAUACAAUGGUGGUUUCCAUGUUUAGCUGUCUUGGCAGCCUUGGUUUGUUUGUUUAAAUCUUGGCAGCUUUGGUUCAAAGAAACCAAAUUGCCCAAUUUGCAGUGUGCUGAAACAUGUUUAGCUGUUUUUACUUAAAUUAAAAUUGAUUUGUAUAACGUUAAAUAUCACUCAAUUACAAUACUCUGCGGUUAGAAAAUAUAUAGUCAUUUUUUAACAUUUUUCAAUGAAGUUGUAGCUUCUAUUACGCCAAAACAGUCUUUCAAAAAUAAUUGAUUGCAGUUGCAGAGAAGAGUCUUUGAAUAAUUCAGGAACUUGGUGACGCCGUUGCCCGCUUGCCGCUGUGUGCCAUGUUCGUUGCCUGUAAAAGUAAGUGAGUUACUUAAAGACUAAUCAGUCAAUUUUAUUUAUUAAUUAAUUCAGCAUUAUUGUUAAUUUAUACAACGAUUUGUCAGAUUAUCAUGGAAUGUGGUUUUGAUAUUAUGUUGACAAAUUCAAACACUGACUUUUAAUAUUAAUCAUUGUUUAGCUCUGAAUUCACACUCAAAUUAUUUGGUGGGAAGUCUCUCUCAAUUUAACAAAUGAACUGGAAUGAUGAAUUGAACCAACUUAUUGGAAAAACGAAAAGAAAGACUUAGAGGUCGAUGAGCUCCCAAAUGUCUUACGGGAAUAAGAUAUAAAUAUAAAAAAUUCUCUAGGUAAGAAGUUUUUUUUUUUUCUUUUAGACUAGAAAACGUUAAGUCUCAACUCUAAAUAAUAAUUCUAAAGCCUAAAAUAAUCAAUAAAUAGAAUUAAGUUGAAGUAAAUUGAGAAGAAGUGAGGUUUUCUCAAUGCGUCCUAAACGUCUUGCAAAAUUAGUCGAAUUGGUAUAUAUAUCCCACAUUACUCCGCCACAACCUCCACUGCACCACCUUAAUUACCAUACUCUCAAACUUCUUCAUCCAAAUGCACCGUAACAUAUUUGAAUUUCUGUAAUUUUUUUGUUUUAGGUGCUGAUUUCCAUUCCAUUGUGUACAUUUCUUAUCCUAUUCUUAUGCUUUGAUAAUUGAAUAGAAACAUUGAGGUGAUAGCAUGAAAGUAAUGGGAAAGAGUGUGAAAAUGUACAAUACGAGUGUGAAAAUUGCCAAUUAAAAAAAAAAAUUACAACAUGAUGGCCCUGGACCUACAAACACCCAAAACAUCCUCAGCCAAAAUAAUUAAAAUAGAAAUGGGAGGGGAAGACGGAGAUCCUCUAGAACAUGAUCACAGUUCUGCCCCAAUCAAACAUGUUGCUUCAGAGAUAAGACCACCAUCAACAUUUCACCAAAUUCGAUUUCUUGGUGAACAAGAAAUCAAAAAAUACACCAAACUAAGAAUUUGAUAGUAAGCGCAUAAAUGAAGAGUAGUAUGCACAAACAAUUAGGCAAUCUACCAUAUGAUGGAGAUUACAACUCUCAUUAAAAGAGAAAUCAGAACACUUCAAACCAAUUUUCUGGAUAUACAAUAAAUAACCAAAUUGAUACUUUCCUAUAUUUAAUUGUUCUUCACUUAAAAAACAUUAUUACUUCUUUUUUUCAGAAUAAGAAACUGAAUUAUACUAGAAAUUUUAGAAAUAGACGAACAUAAAUGUAAUCAUAAAAACUUAUAUGUAUGCUGGAUUACUCCACAGUCAAUUUUGUCCUGACAUGGCCCGCUGAAAUUUGGAGCUUUUCAGUCAAACCAAGAUGUGCCAUAAGAAGCCAGACAUGAGUGAGCAGCUCUCCUCCUCACCUGAGCUGCUGAGCAUGAUCACUCCAUCGGCACUGGUUAGCGGCGUAAC
rnacentral:lncRNA from 1 species